rnacentral:rRNA from 1 species
CCUACGGGAGGCAGCAGUGGGGAAUAUUGGGCAAUGGGCGCAAGCCUGACCCAGCAACGCCGCGUGAAGGAAGAAGGCUUUCGGGUUGUAAACUUCUUUUCUCAGGGACGAAGCAAGUGACGGUCCCUGAGCACUAAGCCACCGCUAACGACGGGCCAGCAGCCGCGGUAAUACGUAGGAGGCAAGCGUUAUCCGGAUUUACUGGGUGUAAAGGGCGUGUAGGCGGGACUGCAAGUCAGCGGUGAAAACCAUGGGCUCAACCUAUGGCCUGCAUUUGAAACUGUAGGUCUGGAGUACUGGAGAGGCAGAUGGAAUUCCUAGUGUAGCGGUGAAAUUCGUAGAUAUUAGGAGGAACACCAGUGGCGAAGGCGGUCUGCUGGACAGCAACUGACGCUGAGGCGCGAAAGCGUGGGGAGCAAACAGGAUUAGAUACCCGUGUAGUC